CGGCCGGAAAAAGGGGUGGUUACUACUAGAUGCAUCUGGUAAUUCAUUUCAACAAGAAGUAUUGACACCGACGGUGGUGUUUCAGCUCCGGCAGCCGGCGGAGCAAGGAUAUGGUGGGUGUUCAGAUUGGUACUUACCGAGGUCCUAUUCUUCAAAUCUGAGACGAAGACGACAACAACGGUGUGUUGAAGGCGGUGACGGUGAUGGGUGUUCAGGAACGACGAUGGUGGGGGUUCGGGGAAGACAAAGAGGGAGGGUUGUGAUAAAACUUCCGAUUUACGUUUGGAGGUGGGGCAACUCCUAAAGAUGACAAGCUCUUUGAUGCGUCGCAAAAUGCUUUUUUUUUUCAUUCAAGAUGUUUUGGAAAAAGGCUGAUUUUGGUUGUUUGGAAGUUGAAGAUGACAAGCCUCUGAAAAGAGUUGGUGAUGAUGAAUACCGAUUGUUUGAUAGAGAUAAGUUGUAUUUGUCUGUUCUACAUGUUGAUAUAAAUUAACCGACACUGGGGGGUCUCCAGUAAGGGUUUCAAUGACCAAAAAGUGGAGUCUAUAUACAUAUCUAAACACCUUAUUAGAAAUGGCUUUAUAUUAUCUAUACAUUUAACAAAUACUGAAAGAGAUCGAGAUUAGAAGCCGAUAAAUAUUAUAUCUAAAAAGUGAUUUGUUUCUUUUAUGUUGUCUAUGCCCUAUUGCAAUACGUAUUCAAUCUUAGCCUAAAACGAUUCGGGUGUGUAAAAGAGCAUAUAUCAUCCAAAUAAUUUAAAAAAAAAACACAGGAUAUUAAGGGUUCUUACAUACCUGAAUGGUUUGGAAAAAAGUGGCGUCUAAGGACAGCAACCAGCCAACCACCAAAAUAGAGAAUGAGGGAUCUUCAGCAAUCAAAGUAUAGAGCAAAGGUGCUGAUAACGUUAAAUGAAAUAAGAAAAAUGAGAAGUGUGUAUUUCUUUCAUUUAUCAACUCAUAUAUAUAUAUACAAUGAUGUAGUCAAACAAUAACUGAAAAUUUAUGUAGUCAAAGCGUAACUGAAAACAUAAUGACUUAGGAGAAGAGUUAGGAGGUAAUAUAUCUGUAUUUAUAACAAUAUAUAUAUAUUGUAAACGUAACACUCCAAAAUCUUUACAUAUUUAUAUAUGUUAAUAUAUAUCUAUAAUACUAUAAAAAGGAGAAGUGAUGUACACACAUGUAAUUUUACAUGGCGUCCAUCAUUUUAUGCAAUAUGUACAAAUAAAUAAUAAAUGUUUUGUGAGGCCAAAAUUGUAAGGAGGUGAAUAUUUUAAGACACUGUAAGUGUAUAAUAGUAAAUUAUACCUACACCCGUACUCACAACCUCAAAAUCCUUUCCAUCCCUGCCCUUAGAAACCUAAUCGAUGCCCUGGAAACUAACUACACGCCUCCUCAUCUUCCCUGUUCAGUUAAACCCUUUAUGAAGCCAGUUAAAGCACCUACCAGUUUUCAUAAAUCAUCCCCAAUUGAGUGGUUUGAGAUUUGAGAUUUAGGUCAAUGGCUCUCCUUGGUAAAUACCCAAUGCUCCUUCAUCUUCAAUAAAACUCUACAAGAACAUAAGCCUGGAUCGUAAGAAGCAUUCUCAGGAUCACCACUUUUCCCAUUCAAGAACAGAAGGGGGGUGAAGAACAUCAUCGCAUAGUUCGUAAUUCUGGUUACGUUUAAGCAGCCGGAAUCGGCGAAAAAAGCGUGUGAAGAUCCGACGCCAGUGAUUAACGGCCAUCGUGCGAAUUGUAACCUAGCAUCGCUCGGUGCUCGCCGUCAGAGAACGUUAACCGUUGUUCACCGCCACCGCACCACCAAUCCUUUUAGUCCAACAUAAGAUCAUUUGGGAAGAAUGAUGAUGGAAGAGAAAAUCGGUCAGAUGGUUCAGAUUCAAAUGCUUGCAGCUACUCCUGAUAUCAUGAGUUGUUUUAAAUGAAGGAAACUUACUAAUUGGUGGAGGGAGUGUUGAUUGGAUUAAUAUGCUACACGAGCUCCCACAUUUUCUACAUGAUCAUGGAUCCAAUGAUUUAUGGAAUUGUUGCUGAUCAUAGUCACAACAAUGUUAUUUAUGCUACAAUAUUUCCACAUAAUAUUGGCCAUAUAGCUACCA